rnacentral:rRNA from 1 species
CCUUACUGACGCUAAAGCUCGAAAGCGCGGGUAUCGAACAGGAUUAGAUACCCUGGUAGUCCGCGCGGUAAACGAUGGAUGCUCGUUGUGCGGCCUUUUUGGUUGCGCGACCAAGCGAAAGCGUUAAGCAUCCCACCUGGGGAGUACGCCGGCAACGGUGAAACUCAAAGGAAUUGACGGGGGCCCGCACAAGCGGAGGAACAUGUGGUUUAAUUCGAUGAUACGCGAGGAACCUUACCCGGGCUUGAACUGCAGAGGAAAGAUCCAGAGAUGGUGAUGCCCUUCGGGGCCUCUGCGGAGGUGCUGCAUGGUUGUCGUCAGCUCGUGCCGUGAGGUGUCGGCUUAAGUGCCAUAACGAGCGCAACCCUUCUCCGAAGUUGCCAUCAGGUUAUGCUGGGGACUCUUCGGACACUGCCACCGCAAGGUGUGAGGAAGGUGGGGAUGACGUCAAAUCAGCACGGCCCUUACGUCCGGGGCUACACACGUGUUACAAUGGCGCGUACAGAGCGCAGGCCAGCGGCGACGCUGGUCCAAUCCUCAAAACGCGUCUCAGUUCGGAUUGGGGUCUGCAACCCGACCCCAUGAAGCUGGAUUCGCUAGU